rnacentral:rRNA from 1 species
UGGAUUAUGUGGAUUAAUUCGAUGCAACGCGAAAACCUUACCUACCCUUGACAUGCUAGGAACUUGCCAGAGAUGGCUUGGUGCCCGAAAGGGAACCUAGACACAGGUGCUGCAUGGCUGUCGUCAGCUCGUGUCGUGAGAUGUUGGGUUAAGUCCCGCAACGAGCGCAACCCUUGUCAUUAAUUGCCAUCAUUCAGUUGGGCACUUUAAUGAGACUGCCGGUGACAAACCGGAGGAAGGUGGGGAUGACGUCAAGUCCUCAUGGCCCUUAUGGGUAGGGCUUCACACGUAAUACAAUGGUCGGUACAGAGGGUUGCCAACCCGCGAGGGGGAGCCAAUCCCAGAAAACCGAUCGUAGUCCGGAUUGCAGUCUGCAACUCGACUGCAUGAAGUCGGAAUCGCUAGUAAUCGCGGAUCAGCAUGUCGCGGUGAAUACGUUCCCGGGCCUU